AGAUUGAGGUGCAUUGGAAUUCGACCAGAUGAUCAUCCUAUCAAGACUGAGAUUGAGAGAUUGACCUUGUGUGAGGGGAAAUUGGAGCAAUUUGGUAAUUGGAACAAAGUCUGAAAAUGUUCUAUCCAAAUCAUUAAGGAGGCUGCAAUUGAUGGAGCUCUCAAUAGAA